CCUACGGGAGGCAGCAGUGAGGAAUAUUGGACAAUGGGCGCAAGCCUGAUCCAGCCAUGCCGCGUGCAGGAUGAAGCAUCUAUGGUGUGUAAACUGCUUUUAUACAGGAAGAAACCUCCCGACGUGUCGGGAAUUGACGGUACUGUAAGAAUAAGGAUCGGCUAACUCCGUGCCAGCAGCCGCGGUAAUACGGAGGAUCCAAGCGUUAUCCGGAAUCAUUGGGUUUAAAGGGUCCGUAGGCGGGCCAGUAAGUCAGUGGUGAAAUCUCUCCGCUCAACGGGGAAAUGGCCAUUGAUACUGCUGGUCUUGAAUUAUUAGGAAGUAACUAGAAUAUGUAGUGUAGCGGUGAAAUGCUUAGAGAUUACAUGGAAUACCAAUUGCGAAGGCAGGUUACUACUAAUGGAUUGACGCUGAUGGACGAAAAGCGUGGGUAGCGAACAGGAUUAGAUACCCUGGUAGUCCACGCCGUAAAACGAUGGAUACUAGNUGUUGGGGUCGGACUACUAGUGGNGUAAGACGAAAGUAGAAUAAAGUAAUACCCACCCUCGGGGAGGGUACGGUUACGUCGAAGAAAGUAAGAAAACGUUAAAACGUAAAAAGUUAAGUAAGGUUACGUACGGACGGACGUAGGACCGAACGGACCGAACCGGAACCGAACGGGAAACGGAAGGGGAGGAGG
rnacentral:rRNA from 1 species